GACGAACGCUGGCGGCGUGCCUAACACAUGCAAGUCGAACGGAUAUAUGAUUUCGGUUGUAUCUUAGUGGCGAACGGGUGAGUAACACGUGAGCAACCUGACUCUUAGAGGGGGAUAACAUUCGGAAACGGGUGCUAAUACCGCAUAAGACCACGACCCGGCAUCGGGAUGAGGUCAAAGGAGCAAUCCGCUGAGAGAGGGGCUCGCGUCCCAUUAGGUAGAUGGCGGGGUAACGGCCCACCAUGUCAACGAUGGGUAGCCGAGCUGAGAGGCUGAUCGGCCACACUGGAACUGAGACACGGUCCAGACUCCUACGGGAGGCAGCAGUGGGGAAUAUUGGGCAAUGGGCGCAAGCCUGACUCAGCAACGCCGCGUGAGGGAAGAAGGCUUUCGGGUUGUAAACCUCUGUCCUUGGUGACGAAACAAAUGACGGUAGCCAAGGAGGAAGCCCCGGCUAACUACGUGCCAGCAGCCGCCGUAAGAC
rnacentral:rRNA from 1 species